AUCACUAACAAAGUAAUGCCAAAUUUAAAUUCAAAUGAAGAACCAUAUACAAAACGUCUCAAUCACUCAGCGUGUCCUGGAGACAAUGAUGGGUAAUAAUAUAUAAUGCGUUACUUGAAUACGACCAAUUUCUUCCCCCGCAGCAAUAAUUUUGAAAUAAACACAUUACAGUGCAUAUUGUAUUCGAAAUAAACAAUAUAAAACUAGUCAUAUAAUUUUUUUUUUUUUUAUUAUUAUUUAUGUGACGGAAAAGAAAAGUUGUCUAUUCCUUAGUAAACGUCGCGAAAAAUAGGGCGUUGGCACCAAGCUAUUAGUAUUAAUCUUCCGUUGUCUAUACACCAUAAGUAGCAAAGAAAAAUAGACUGGUACUAUUCAUGUGACGGAGUGCGUAUAUUCAAUACCGGUAAAAGUUCUACGUAUUUAUAAUCUGUAACUAUUAAACUUUUUUUUUAAUAUCAUAGAAAUUUAAAAAAUAGUUGAAAGUACAUUCUCACGGAAUUUUCAUUAUGUUUCAACUGUACUUGGAUUCCUAUGAUAUUGAAAGUAUAUGAUUUGUUUAUUGUAAUAUUUACGUUUAUUUUGUUUGUUUAAUUAUUCUACUUACGUCGUUAUGCAUCAUAAUUUUUUGUUUCUUUUUCUUGAUUCUUCUAUAAUUUUUUUUCUCUUAUACAUAAUGGAAUGUAUAUAUAUAUAUUUUUUGUUUCAUUUCCUUUCUCUUAGUUUCUCUUAAUUAAUCGAAGCGAUAAUAAAGAAUCGUUGAUUCCUUAUUCUUGUAAAUAUGCUUUAUAUUUCUAAUAUUCGCUUGACUUUGAUUUAAUGUCUGAUCUCUCUUUUUCAAACUACCCAACAAUUGAAAAAAAGUUUUUUUUUUUUUUAUUUCUGUUGUCGUUAACUGCAGAAAGUGAUGUAUGUCAAAGCUUUUGUGUAUUAUAGAUAAACAUGUAUCAUGUCCCUUUUGGCGCUUCCACUGCCCCCAAUACUUACCAUUAUGUAAAUAUGGUAUGGCUUUUUUGGGAAAUUAUAAUUGUAAUAACGUUUUUGUAAUGUAUAUAAUAGACUAUAGUUGUUUAAUUAAAAAGUCUAAAAUAAAUUGCUAUUUAUACUAUAUCAAUAUGAAAGUAUUUUUUAUUAUUGGUAAGUUCUAAAAAAGCCGUACUAUAUUUGGCAUAUUGCUUUGAUUGAGUUUUGGUAAUCAACACUGCCUGUCCUACCACAUCCGAACUGUCGUGGAGCAAGGGGUUAGACAAAAUUUACCAAUUCAUUUUACUUAUCAACAAGAUAAAUCACAUGAAAAUGUUUCUAGUCUGAUUUCUAUAUUCAAAAAGGUUCAGCAAUAAAACCAAAUUGUUUCUUUUUCGAAUAUGUCCUGAGCAAAACGAAUGGUUGCUAUUAUAGGGACCCGGUUUUAGUAUGUCACGUGAUUAUAUUUUCAGUACAUUGAUUUGUUGAUAAGUGAAAUAUAACUUGUUUUGUCUAGCCUCUAAUUAUAAUACGAGAUAUAAAGAGGUUUAUUUAUGGACGAAACGUUUAUGUUCUGUUUGUAAUUAUGAUGUAAUAUUUUUUAACCAGGAAUCCUAAAUUAUGUCCAAUGUAAUGAUGAAUAAAUAUUUAUAAUGAAUAGAAAAA